GAGAGAAGGGCGCAGGUAAAAAUUUUGGUGGGAAAAGAAUACAAGUCAUAAGAAUACAAGUCUUUCUGCUGAUGAUUUACAGCUGAAGAGAUGAAUCAUUGGGUUUUUGACGUCUGUCAAUGUGAUGAGGUGAAAACAUUUUUAGCAGAAUUGCACUUUUAAUUUUUGCUCUUCCUAUUAAUGCCAUUUAUUACGGUGACAUUUAUCUCUUGAUCUUCUCAAGCUUCCAAAGUAAAGGGCAAGUCUC
rnacentral:misc_RNA from 1 species